GUCAAUAUGUCCGAGUAGUUAAGGAGAUAGACUUGAAAUUUAUUGGGCUUUGCCUGCGCAGGUUCGAAGGAGAUAGACUUGAAAUUUAUUGGGCUUUGCCUGCGCAGGUUCGAAUGCUGCUGUUGACG
rfam:Ipomoea nil DNA, scaffold: scaffold1250, cultivar: Tokyo-kokei standard.